UGGCACAUUCAUUACUUAAGUGAGGAAACUGGAAUAUAAGGGGGAAAAAAAUCCUCCCUCAAGGAUGGAUCAAGAAGUUGUGUUAAGACCAGCAUUGGAACGUGGAAACUGCAGACUCUCAAAACCAUUAAAGCAAAAGGAACAAAACUGUGAGGAUGUUACUGUUUGCUUAAAAUACCUAGUAGGUAUAUAGGAUUAUAGAUUAUAACCCUGAAAAUGUUUACAAGGUUGUACAGACUUCUUGCUGUGACAGCACAGAUCUUUCCUGUAGCCAGGUGCUGUUUCCUAGUAACUGAGCUGUAGGCUAUUUAAAAGUUAAAAUUAAACAGACUUCCUUGGGCAAGACAAUUGUGAAUUACUCAGCUAGAACAAAUACUAAUGAAGAACAGCUUCCUCAUUUUCAUUAGAACAGCUUCCUUUCAAGCCUGAAAACUUGCUUUCUGCUGGCUGCGGUAAACCAUAGCCCUUUAWUAGCCAGGCUUGAUUGGCAGGAUCAGUGGGUUGUCACAGAAACCAAACAUACUUGCUCUAAACAAUACAGUCAGGAAGGCUAUUUAGCUUGGAGUGCUCUUCCUUGUUCUUCAUUCCUGCAAUGCAGUGAGCCUUCUGUAGGCUCCUACAAAAGAAAAAAAAUCCCUUUGUUGGCUUUUUAAGACCAAAAUGGGCUGCAAUACUAGUAAGAGCACAGCAGUGGUGGAAUCUGCCCAAAAGCAUGGAGGACAGCCUGAGGAAGAAGACAAAAAUGAAGACCCUGGCACUGAAACAACUGUUGAUGCUAUCCAGAAUUCAGCUGUUGAGGACAGCGCAUAUGGUGAAACAAGCUGAAACUGGCGACUUUUGUGAUCCAAAUACGGACUGUAACUGUGAAAUUCUUACUGGAUGUCACCAGUAUGUACGCCAAACCCUCUGCUGGGGGGUGACCUAAAUGGAAGGAAGAUCAYGUGUGGCUUGUAAUGGAUAGCCUUCAUCUGACAUAUGUAACUAAAGAUACUUGCUUCAGUAUUGUUGGGUCCUGUUAGCAACUACUUUAUCUAAACAAACAUCUGCAGAAGGAAAUAUCUGUUGUUCUCAUCUACCAUCGGGUCAUCCUCCAUGGAGUGCCCUAGGGGCCUGGAAGGGAAUAUGCUAGUGACUGGGCUGCAGGAGAGCGCUGUUUCUGUGACUGUCAAAUGUAGUGUGACUGUUUUUAUUCCCAGAAUUGCUUUUGACAACAGCUUUCU
rnacentral:lncRNA from 1 species